GGCUUAAUACAUGCAAGUCGAGUGCGCGGUUCGUAGCAAUACGGACUGGCGCACGGCGCACGGGUGAGGAACACGUGGGCAACAUGCCCUCUGAUGGGGAAUAACCCCGCGAAAGCGGGGCUAAUACCGCAUACGAUUCCGGGGACCUCGGUCCCUGGACUGAAAGCCCGCAAGGGCGUCAGAGGAGUGGCCCGCGGCCGAUUAGCUUGUUGGCGGGGUAACGGCCCACCAAGGCUUUGAUCGGUAGCCGGUCUGAGAGGAUGAUCGGCCACACUGGAACUGAGACACGGUCCAGACUCCUACGGGAGGCAGCAGUGGGGAAUCUUGCGCAAUGGGCGAAAGCCUGACGCAGCGACGCCGCGUGGGGGAUGAAGCCUUUCGGGGCGUAAACCCCUUUCGACCCGGACGAAAUGCCCGCAAGGGAAUUGACGGUACGGGUAUAAGAAGCCCCGGCUAACUACGUGCCAGCAGCCGCGGUAAGACGUGGGGGGCUAGCGUUGUUCGGAUUUACUGGGCGUACAGGGAGCGUAGGCGGUUCGGUAAGCCCUUUGUGAAAUCUCCAGGCUUAACCUGGAACAGUCGGAGGGGACUGCCGGGCUAGAGGACGGGAGAGGAGCGCGGAAUUCCCGGUGUAGCGGUGAAAUGCGUAGAGAUCGGGAGGAAGGCCGGUGGCGAAGGCGCGCUCUGGAACGUUUCUGACGCUGAGGCUCGAAAGCGUGGGGAGCAAACAGGAUUAGAUACCCUGGUAGUCCACGCCGUAAACGUUGGGCGCUAGGUGUGGGAUCCCUUCCACGGGUUCCGUGCCGCAGCUAACGCAUUAAGCGCCCCGCCUGGGGAGUACGGCCGCAAGGCUAAAACUCAAAGGAAUUGACGGGGACCCGCACAAGCGGUGGAUGAUGUGGAUUAAUUCGAUGCAACGCGAAAAACCUUACCUACCCUUGACAUGUACGGAAGCCUCUCGAGAGGGGGGUGUGCCCGAAAGGGAGCCGUAACACAGGUGCUGCAUGGCUGUCGUCAGCUCGUGUCGUGAGAUGUUGGGUUAAGUCCCGCAACGAGCGCAACCCUUGUCCUUAGUUGCCAGCGGGUAAUGCCGGGAACUCUAAGGAGACUGCCGGUGACAAACCGGAGGAAGGUGGGGAUGACGUCAAGUCAUCAUGGCCCUUAUGGGCAGGGCUACACACGUGCUACAAUGGCCGGUACAAAGGGUCGCCAACCCGCGAGGGGGAGCUAAUCCCAAAAAACCGGUCGUAGUCCGGAUCGGAGUCUGCAACUCGACUCCGUGAAGUUGGAAUCGCUAGUAAUCGCGAAUCAGCACGUCGCGGUGAAUACGUUCCCGGGCCUUGCACACACCGCCCGUCACA
rnacentral:rRNA from 1 species